AACGUUUUUAAAAACCGGAAAAAAAAAUUUGAUAAACAGUGAGUCGCAUCAUGUUAAAAAAACCAGGUGGAAAACUAAGUCCUUUUCGUCGCACUAAACGUUAAGGGCCGAGGCAACAACUUGAGAGAGAAAGGUGGUGGAAGCGAUACCGGUGACAGCAGGUAAAUUAAAUUUCAAGGUUACCUCAACUUGAUUGUGCAACUGAAGCACCAUCUGCGCACAAGACUCGGAGAUAUCUGAAAUUCGCUCCGGCAAUUUCGCCGCCGGUCCGGUAGUACAGUCUCCAGCAAUUCUCGAAAAAUGCCAGAAUCUUCUGCCUGCAACAGUCCACAUCAGGACAAAUUCAAUACGAUUCAAAUUGAGAUUUAUCGAAAGGUUUAGAGAAAAAUAGGUACCGGUUUUUUGAGCAGAGUAAACGGCGAGGAGCGUGAUGGAGUCGCUGGAGUGAACGACAUGAGUGAGCGCCCAGGCUAAUGCGG